CAAUCGAUUAGUGAUCGUGAUCGAUUAGGUUUGAAAUGACUCACGCUCACGCACAAAUAAGCAACAUAAAUUUCAGAACGUUACAAAUUGACAGGUUAUAAUUUGACAGGUUAUAAUUUCGAGAAGAAAGCGAGAAUCGGCGGAGUUGAGGACGCUUAACUCUUCGAAAAAUGUCAAGUGUCCCUCUGAAAGAAUAAAAUCUCAUGGCAUCCGAAAUCACCUGCUUAAUGGCGUCCUCGUGAAACUGCGCCAGGAGGGUCGCAUCCGCGGUGGAGUCGAUGAGAUCGUGUUCCGCGGAGUCGGCCGAGGCCGAGUUGACACCGGCCGUGGUGACGCUCGUCGGCUGCGUCGUCAUCUCCUCGGUGUAGAGACCGGUCCUAGUGUUCAAGCCGCGUUCGGCCGCGUUCACUUUCGUCGCUUUCACGCUGCCGCCUGAGGGUGCGAGGCCGCCCCCGCUGCCAACGAGCCACUGGCUUUCCUCCUCCGAUGAGGGCAUCACUGCCAGAAACCAUCUGGCGAAGCGGAAUAAUAAGAUAAUGAAUACGCAAUAGGCGAAUAUAUAUCUCGUUGAAUUAUAUCCUGCUUCUGACGCGCAUCCUCCCCUGCCAGAGAGAAUAUCUCGUUCGAUAGGUCGCUUCUGGAUUUAUGUCGCCUGUACAUUAUAACGCAGAUAAGAUAAAACGAAUUCGAGCCGAGAGAUAAAAGAGCGGGAAUCGGUUGCAACAAUAUUGACAUUUGAGGGAUAUGCAAAGCCGCGGUGGAAGCCGAAUAGGAAGGCGAAGAAGAAUUGAGAGGCAGGAUUUUUGCAAGAAUGAACUAAAGUAACUACGUUUUAUGUACAAGAUAUGCGUCGUCAUGUGCGAUCUAUUUUACGAUUUUGUUCGCCUUCGCGCUUUUUGCUUCGACGCUAUAUCGAUAUAAUAUUAAACGGUAGAUUGCUCCGCGCGACAGCGGAGCGUAAAGAAUUGCGCGAUCUUCGAAAAAAAUAUCUUCUAAUUUUAUUAUAUUGUAAAAUUGCAGCCUCUCCUUUACAUCGCGGAUCAAGGAUCGUUAAUAAAACUCGUCGUAAAUUAUUGAAACAAUCCCUCUUUCGCGUUCUAUGACACAGAAAGACGUGGAAAGUUGACCGUGGACUAGGAACACAAGUGUGUUAACAAUACAGUGGUGUAUUGUGCUUUGCAAUUAUGAAGUUUAUCAUGCGGUACACGUGGAAAUAAGGCAUGCGUCACGUCUAUAAGUGCGGUUCACUGACCACGUUUCUCGGAUGUGUGUACGAUAUUCGUCACGGUGUGACAAGUGAAAUUAAUGUUCGACCUUUAUCGCAAACGCCUUAAAUCUAGCCGGCUAUAUAUAACAAUAAAUAUGCAAUAUCUCCGCUUAUAUAUACCAAUAAUAAGAACGCGAGAGAACGUUAUUGAACUCUCGUAUGUUGCGUUUAUGUUUAUCGCGAUCAAUGCGAUAUUUAUACACGAAACGCCGUAAAUUUUGGCCCUAUCCUUCGAUUCGUGCGCAGCUUACAAGAGGAUAUACCGGUCUGGUGUGUGCUUACCGUUGACCUUACACUCAAAGUAACCGGAGCCGCUUUCGCGUGCACUUAUAUUUCGCAGCGGUAAUUCAACGUUUAUGAGCCCACAUUGAAGCACGCGGAGGUCGCGCGUUUUACCAAGGCUGAUUAAUUCCCGGAAUUAAUACAAGACCUGCUAUAGGUCGUCUCCGUCAACUUUAUCUCAUCGUGAAAAUGUGCAAUUUUACGUCAACGGUACACCUGGCUGCUGAAAAAAAGCAGGAAGAAGUGCUACUACGUCAUUGGUUACAAAAAAGAACGAGGCGUUAAAAUUAUACAUUCCCUCGGUUUUGGGGCGACGAUGGAACAUUCAUUAAUCUUCUCAAAGACGGACAGAUUUCUCGCAUCGGGAUGAAGAAAAUCGUCGUUGGAUAUGUCGAUUAAUUUUCGCGGAUCGAUGAAGAGCGUUGUCAACUCUAAGCACUUGGAGCACUUUGACUUGAAGAUGAUACUACUCUUCAGAGACUGCUGUUUUAUUCAGCAGCCGUGUGUGACGUCUACUUCUUCGUCAACAGCUGCAGUCGAUCACUCGUCACAAAGUCACCCUCGCGUCCUUACAUGCGACAUAUACGUCAGCGACAGAGUGCGAAUAUGAUCGAACGCGCGAAUAAAUUUACGUAACAAUAUCGUAUACGACGAUUCCGUACGUAUAGACCGGGUAUAGACAGAUGUAAAAUGAUGAUCCGUCGAUCACUGAUGACUAGUCACUUUCAUGUCGUAGACGUGGAUUAAUAACGUCAAAAUUUAUAAUUUAAAUAUUUACAUAACGAGUAAUAUAUAGAUAUACAGAUAGGAGAGUAGAUAUAUUAAUGAACAUUAUGAUAUCCCACGUCAUUAUCUCUCUUAAUUCUAAAGUU